rnacentral:rRNA from 1 species
AGCAGCCGCGGUAAUUCCAGCUCCAAUAGCGUAUAUUAAAGUUGUUGCAGUUAAAAAGCUCGUAGUUGAAUUUCGGGGUUAGUAGGUUGGUCAUGCCUCUGGUAUGUACUGGUCUCACUGAUUCCUCCUUCCUGAUGAGCCGUAAUGCCAUUAAUUUGGUGUUGCGGGGAAUUUGGACUGUUACUUUGAAAAAAUUAGAGUGUUUAAAGCAAGCUAACGCUUGAAUACAUUAGCAUGGAAUAAUGAAAUAGGACGUUCGAUCCUAUUUUGUUGGUUUCUAGGAUUGACGUAAUGAUUAAUAGGGAUAGUUGGGGGCAUUAGUAUUCAAUUGUCAGAGGUGAAAUUCUUGGAUUUAUUGAAGACUAACUACUGCGAAAGCAUUUGCCAAGGAUGUUUUCAUUAAUCAAGAACGAAGGUUAGGGGAUCGAAGACGAUCAGAUACCGUCGUAGUCUUAACCAUAAACUAUGCCGACUAGGGAUCGGAUGAUGUUAAUUUUUAAUGACUCAUUCGGCGCCUUAA